rnacentral:tRNA from 1 species
AGGAGAAUAAUUUAAUUGGUAAAAUGUCAAUCUUCAAAAUUGAUUUUAAAGGUUCAAAUCCUUUUUGUCCUG